rnacentral:lncRNA from 1 species
CGAACUCGAUGCAAACUCAACAGGCAAAGGUGAGAGAUGAUUCACUGCUUCAUCUUUUUUUUUUGCAAAAAAGAUUCACUGCUUCAUCUACCUCUGUGCUAGUACCUAAUUAGCUCUCAACUAUAUACGUAUGCGAGCUCUUUACUGGUAGCAAUGUAGUAGCUCUGUACUAGUACUAUAGUAGCUAUGUACUGAACUCUGAAGUAUGCAAGCUAUCUACUCUCCUCUGCUCUUCAGUUAUACAGUACAGGGGAAAUCACAAAUUGGUGAAAGCACCUUUUAAUGAAUUUAGUGCCCAUAAGACCACAUGUAACUAGAAAACUAAACCUCAGUUACACAUCUAACAUAUCAGAAGGAAUAACCAGCAACUAAUCCAUAUUCAUGUACAUAUUUUUAUUUGAGCAUAAAACCAUUGUGCAUCUAACAUCAAAAGGAAUGGUAAGAUAAAUUAUUACAUCUCAAGGGAACUGUCGUGUAGAGCAAUCCUGAGAUACAAAGUUUACAAAGAGCUAUUUAAAAGUGUUUACACUUCUGCUUCGGUAGACCCCCCUUAAACACAUCGAUGGCUCAGAUUAUCUCAUACCCCUUCAUAAUUAAGGGUAAGAUGGUACUUUUUAAAAGUACGUCGUGCGACCUCGUAUACAAAUUGCACAGGCCGGCCCAUUAAGCCACGUCCAUUAUAAGCAACAUUAAAAUAUUAAGAAAAAAGAGUCCUCAUGACCUCACACUUAGAGCCGUACGCUGCUAGCCAGUUCACCCCACAGCCACUUUGUAUCAUUUUAUAGUGCAAAAUAUAUAAGAAGACACAACAGUGUUCACAUAUAAGAAAUAUUUUCUGAAAAACAAGUUCGAAACUCUAAUUGAAAAAAAUGUGAACAAUUUUGAAAUGUCGAAUAUUUAUUGAAUUUAUGAACAUAAUUUGACCUAACAUUUUUUGAAAUUUGAACAAAAUUUCGGAACAUGAGCAAUUUCCAAACAUCUUUCAAAACAUGAACAAUUUUUAAAAUUUGUUGUUUUAUUUUUUCGGUUAUUGUUUGUCCUGUUUUCCUUCUAUUUUUUUUCUCUUUACUUCAUUUUAUUUUCUUUAUUAAAAUUCAUCAACUAUUUUUAAAUCAUGAACCUUUUCUGGAAUCCAUGAACUUUUCAAAUUUGUGAAUAUUUUCUUAAAUUUACAAACUUUGUUUUCAAAUCCAGGAACUUUUUUGCGAGCACGUGGGCAUUCCCAUGGUAGGCAUCCAUGUCAUAUUUGAACGAUUUCUGACACUGUAUGGAAGUUGCGACACGUCUGGCCAUUUAUCGGCCUUUUUUUUAUCAAGAAAUCUCCAGAAAAUUGAAAAUUUGUCGAAAACAUAAAGAACCUGGUAUGGGGCCUUUAAUUGGUCAUACAAGAGCAUCCAAUUGCCAUAAUUAUUUGUUGGGCCUGCUACAUGUUUAAUUGUGUUAAGCUAGCAUGACGCUUGAUAAAAGAAACAUGUACUAAGACCUACCACCGGUCAUUUUUUUGUUUAUUGUUUUUGAUAUAGCUUACCGCUCAUGCCAAGUAGUUACCUACCACCGGUCAUUGUAGCAUGAGAAAGCAAUUUGUCAUUAUCCUGUAGUGAAUGCAUGGCCAAUUUGAUUGUUCGAAAGCAAAAUAUAACGGAGUGCUAGUAGUUUAGCUCCGUUGUAUAGCUGCUGUAGCAAAACGCAAAUGUACUGUAGCGCAGCCCCAACAUGCCCGCAAUUGUGGUGCUAUAAAACUCCUACGCGUGCGGCACUCACGGGACAAGCACUACUUGGUCCAUCGCGCAGCGGCCGCACGGGACGGACGGCGUGCUGCGUCCCUAAUUUGAUUUUCCCAAAAAAAAACUAAACUGACAAGAUGCACAGUAAUAAGAGCAGUAAAAAGAGUGACUAGACACAGCAAGUGGAUUGUCUCAGUUGGUUAUGGUGGCUGAAAGGAAACUAAGAAGUUGGUAGAUUGAAUCCUACCUCUCACAACAAUUUUUUUGAAGGUUAAAAGAAGAAGAAGAAUGGGCCAGGCCCAGGACGGAGGUGUGUGAGGGGCGGCUAAUCUGCUAUGUACCUCUUGUACGUAUCACAUCUCGUAUAACUUAUGAUCAAAUGACAAUACUGCUCUUAUACUGCCCAAGUGUUUAUCUUGUAUGUGACUUGAUUGGCUACCCAAGACCUGGAAGAACAAAGAAAUGAUUUCUUAUGAGAUAUAAACUUCAAUUGGGAAUAUGACUUGGAAGUGAACAAUACCUGAAUUGGCAGCUGGUCAUUUUUGAGAUGUUGGCCAUCCCGAGUCCGAUAGCAUUUGGGAACUCUGGAUACAAUGUUGAUUCAAAAGUCAAUACAAGCAAAUGACAUGUGCAUGUUCAUUUUAAUUUCUAGUUAUUAACUAAUAAAAUUCUCCCUGACUUGGUUGAGUGCUAGUUGGCGGCCGGUGAUUAUGAGCUGUUGGCCAUCCGGAGUCUGAUGACAUCACAGAAGUCUACUUGUAUAGCAUAAAAAUAUCAUAUACUAAUUAGUUCACGGACGAACAUGGAGUAGAAGAUCACACGAUAUUCAUAGUCCUGGUUUUAGUGAAACCUGUAAAGCGCUUAAAGGUAGAGCAAUUUUUUUUGGAAAACAACACAUGCUAUUCACGGGAGCAUUAGCAAAAUAUUGAUCUUUUUCUUUGAUACAAUAAUCUAUACCAUUAGAGUUAGCAAAAAAAAAAGAAUAUGUCAAAGGAGAAAUCUCAGGCAGUAAAAUUUAUAAUAAACUUAGGUGGUACUCUGAUGCAUACUGUGCGCAACAUCGUAGUAGUAAUCAUCACUAACAUAAUUAUAAUGCAAUUCUGAAGGAUUAAUUUGCAUGUGUUUGAAAGAAACAAGGCUACGGAAGAUGAAGUACUAGGAGUAAUUUGCAUGUCAUAGAUUCAACUCUUUCUUUGUUUGUUUCUUUCAAUCUUAUCACCUUCGUAUGAUCAAGAGUGUUGACAAUCUGUACAUUCUAGGCGCAAGAACAUACCUACGGACGAUGAAGUGGCAGGAGCUCCGUCCAUGCUGAAGAACACCGUAAAUGUUGAUCCACGGAGAGGACAAUUUCCUAUCAAUCUUGAUCUAUAUAUUCUCCUUUGAUCCAGGGGCAACAAUUAACAAUGGAAUAGAUUGGUACGAGAAAGGAUGGAUGAAGCCACGAAGAGGUUUUGGCGGCAAUCUGUUGUUAC